GAUGAACGCUGGCGGCGUGCUUAACACAUGCAAGUCGAACGAGAAGUGAAGACGGAACCCUUCGGGCGGAAGGCUUUAUUUCGAGUGGCGGACGGGUGAGUAACGCGUGGGUAACCUGCCUCAUACAGGGGGAUAACAGUUGGAAACGACUGUUAAUACCGCAUAAGACCACAGCACCGCAUGGUGCGGGGGUAAAAACUCCGGUGGUAUGAGAUGGACCCGCGUUCGAUUAGCCAGUUGGCGGGGUAACGGUCCACCAAAGCGACGAUCGAUAGCCGAUCUGAGAGGAUGACCGGCCACAUUGGGACUGAGACACGGCCCAAACUCCUACGGGAGGCAGCAGUGGGGAAUAUUGCACAAUGGGGGAAACCCUGAUGCAGCGACGCCGCGUGAGUGAAGAAGUAUUUCGGUAUGUAAAGCUCUAUCAGCAGGGAAGAAAAUGACGGUACCUGAGUAAGAAGCCCCGGCUAACUACGUG
rnacentral:rRNA from 1 species